UUAAGCGACUAAGCGUACACGGUGGAUGCCCUGGCAGUCAGAGGCGAUGAAGGACGUGCUAAUCUGCGAAAAGCGUCGGUAAGGUGAUAUGAACCGUUAUAACCGGCGAUGUCCGAAUGGGGAAACCCAGUGUGAUUCGUCACACUAUCGUUAACUGAAUACAUAGGUUAACGAGGCGAACCGGGGGAACUGAAACAUCUAAGUACCCCGAGGAAAAGAAAUCAACCGAGAUUCCCCCAGUAGCGGCGAGCGAACGGGGAGCAGCCCAGAGUCUGAAUCAGCUUGUGUGUUAGUGGAACGGUCUGGAAAGUCCGACGGUACAGGGUGAUAGUCCCGUACACCAAAAUGCACAGGCUGUGAACUCGAAGAGUAGGGCGGGACACGUGGUAUCCUGUCUGAAUAUGGGGGGACCAUCCUCCAAGGCUAAAUACUCCUGACUGACCGAUAGUGAACCAGUACCGUGAGGGAAAGGCGAAAAGAACCCCGGCGAGGGGAGUGAAAAAGAACCUGAAACCGUGUACGUACAAGCAGUGGGAGCACCUUCGGGUGUGACUGCGUACCUUUUGUAUAAUGGGUCAGCGACUUAUAUUCUGUAGCAAGGUUAACCGUAUAGGGGAGCCGCAGGGAAACCGAGUCUUAACUGGGCGUUAAGUUGCAGGGUAUAGACCCGAAACCCGGUGAUCUAGCCAUGGGCAGGUUGAAGGUUGGGUAACACUAACUGGAGGACCGAACCGACUAAUGUUGAAAAAUUAGCGGAUGACUUGUGGCUGGGGGUGAAAGGCCAAUCAAACCGGGAGAUAGCUGGUUCUCCCCGAAAGCUAUUUAGGUAGCGCCUCGUGAAUUCAUCUUCGGGGGUAGAGCACUGUUUCGGCUAGGGGGUCAUCCCGACUUACCAACCCGAUGCAAACUACGAAUACCGAAGAAUGUUAUCACGGGAGACACACGGCGGGUGCUAACGUCCGUCGUGAAGAGGGAAACAACCCAGACCGCCAGCUAAGGUCCCAAAGUCAUGGUUAAGUGGGAAACGAUGUGGGAAGGCACAGACAGCCAGGAUGUUGGCUUAGAAGCAGCCAUCAUUUAAAGAAAGCGUAAUAGCUCACUGGUCGAGUCGGCCUGCGCGGAAGAUGUAACGGGGCUAAACCAUGCACCGAAGCUGCGGCAGCGACACUAUGUGUUGUUGGGUAGGGGAGCGUUCUGUAAGCCUGCGAAGGUGACCUGUGAGGGUUGCUGGAGGUAUCAGAAGUGCGAAUGCUGACAUAAGUAACGAUAAAGCGGGUGAAAAGCCCGCUCGCCGGAAGACCAAGGGUUCCUGUCCAACGUUAAUCGGGGCAGGGUGAGUCGACCCCUAAGGCGAGGCCGAAAGGCGUAGUCGAUGGGAAACAGGUUAAUAUUCCUGUACUUGGUGUUACUGCGAAGGGGGGACGGAGAAGGCUAUGUUAGCCGGGCGACGGUUGUCCCGGUUUAAGCAUGUAGGCUGGUUAUCCAGGCAAAUCCGGAUAAUCAAGGCUGAGGUGUGAUGACGAGGCACUACGGUGCUGAAGUAACAAAUGCCCUGCUUCCAGGAAAAGCCUCUAAGCAUCAGGUAACAUCAAAUCGUACCCCAAACCGACACAGGUGGUCAGGUAGAGAAUACCAAGGCGCUUGAGAGAACUCGGGUGAAGGAACUAGGCAAAAUGGUGCCGUAACUUCGGGAGAAGGCACGCUGGUGUGUAGGUGAAGCCCCUGCGGGUGGAGCUGAGACCAGUCGAAGAUACCAGCUGGCUGCAACUGUUUAUUAAAAACACAGCACUGUGCAAACACGAAAGUGGACGUAUACGGUGUGACGCCUGCCCGGUGCCGGAAGGUUAAUUGAUGGGGUUAUCCGUAAGGAGAAGCUCUUGAUCGAAGCCCCGGUAAACGGCGGCCGUAACUAUAACGGUCCUAAGGUAGCGAAAUUCCUUGUCGGGUAAGUUCCGACCUGCACGAAUGGCGUAAUGAUGGCCAGGCUGUCUCCACCCGAGACUCAGUGAAAUUGAACUCGCUGUGAAGAUGCAGUGUACCCGCGGCAAGACGGAAAGACCCCGUGAACCUUUACUAUAGCUUGACACUGAACAUUGAGCCUUGAUGUGUAGGAUAGGUGGGAGGCUUUGAAGCGUGGACGCCAGUCUGCGUGGAGCCAACCUUGAAAUACCACCCUUUAAUGUUUGAUGUUCUAACGUUGGCCCCUUACCGGGGUUGCGGACAGUGUCUGGUGGGUAGUUUGACUGGGGCGGUCUCCUCCCAAAGCGUAACGGAGGAGCACGAAGGUUAGCUAAUCCUGGUCGGACAUCAGGAGGUUAGUGCAAUGGCAUAAGCUAGCUUGACUGCGAGCGUGACGGCGCGAGCAGGUGCGAAAGCAGGUCAUAGUGAUCCGGUGGUUCUGAAUGGAAGGGCCAUCGCUCAACGGAUAAAAGGUACUCCGGGGAUAACAGGCUGAUACCGCCCAAGAGUUCAUAUCGACGGCGGUGUUUGGCACCUCGAUGUCGGCUCAUCACAUCCUGGGGCUGAAGUAGGUCCCAAGGGUAUGGCUGUUCGCCAUUUAAAGUGGUACGCGAGCUGGGUUUAGAACGUCGUGAGACAGUUCGGUCCCUAUCUGCCGUGGGCGCUGGAGAAUUGAGGGGGGCUGCUCCUAGUACGAGAGGACCGGAGUGGACGCAUCACUGGUGUUCGGGUUGUCAUGCCAAUGGCACUGCCCGGUAGCUAAAUGCGGAAGAGAUAAGUGCUGAAAGCAUCUAAGCACGAAACUUGCCCCGAGAUGAGUUCUCCCUGAGACUUUAAGUCUCCUGAAGGAACGUUAAAGACGAUGACGUUGAUAGGCCGGGUGUGUAAGCGCAGCGAUGCGUUGAGCUAACCGGUACUAAUGAACCGUGAGGCUUAACCUU
rnacentral:rRNA from 1 species